AAUGUCCUACGGGACGCAGCAGUGGGGAAUAUUGCACAAUGGGGGAAACCCUGAUGCAGCGACGCCGCGUGAGUGAGGAAGUAUUUCGGUAUGUAAAGCUCUAUCAGCAGGGAAGGAAAUGACGGUACCUGACUAAGAAGCCCCGGCUAACUACGUGCCAGCAGCCGCGGUAAUACGUAGGGGGCAAGCGUUAUCCGGAUUUACUGGGUGUAAAGGGAGCGUAGACGGUGCGUCAAGUCUGAAGUGAAAGCCCGGGGCUUAACCCCGGGACUGCUUUGGAAACUGGCGCGCUAGAGUGCUGGAGG
rnacentral:rRNA from 1 species